UACGUCUGUUUAUUCAAUUUUUUUUUUUUUGCUAAGUGAUUAAAUUUCUUGACCGUGGUUUAAUUUAUCCAAUGAAAUUUUCCUUAUUUUUUUUAUAAUUAAUGUUUUUCUUUCAUACAAUAUAACAACACUUUCAAUGAAAUAAAUAGUCAUGGAUUUUUUUUCAAAUUAUUCAGUCCAAUUUACAGCCCAAAGCAGUAACUUGUCAAAGUUAAAAAAAAAAUCCAAGAUGAACUUCAACUUCAUUGUUUUGGCUAUAAGUGCCAUGAUUGCAUUGAUGUUUGCUGCAACAGAAGUAUCUGCAGCUUGUAAACCAAGAUGGGCCAAUGAUUGUACAUCCGAUGGGGAAUGUUGUACUGGCUGGUGUAACACCAACAAUGGUGCAUGGCGCCAAGGUGUUUGUGAUUACAAAUAAAUACCAACCAACAUUGUUUUUUAUUUUUUUAUUUUAUUUUUGCAUAUUUGAAAAUGUAAUAAUUUCAUGAAUAAAAAUUGUUGAAUUUAAAAUUAUAUUUUUAACAUUGUAAU